rnacentral:rRNA from 1 species
GGCAUAAAGCGUGGUUAGGAGAAUUUUAAACUAAAGCCAAACACUCUCAGAACUGUUAUACGUACCCGAGAAUUAGAGGCCCCCCUACGAAAGUGGCUUUAACCCAUUCUGACUCCACGAAAGCUGAGAAACAAACUGGGAUUAGAUACCCCACUAUGCUCAGCCCUAAACUUUAAUAGUGCUAUUAUUGACUAUUCGCCUGGGAACUACGAGCGCUAGCUUAAAACCCAAAGGACUUGGCGGUGCUUUAGAUCCCCCUAGAGGAGCCUGUUCUAGAACCGAUAACCCCCGUUUAACCUCACCCCCUCUUGCUCUUACCGCUUAUAUACCGCCGUCGUCAGCUUACCCUGUGAGGGACUAAUAGUGAGCAAAAUCAGUACAACUCAAAACGCCAGGUCGAGGUGUAGCAUAUGAGGGGGGAAGAAAUGGGCUACAUUUUCUGAAACAGAAAAUACGGAUUAUGUAAUGAAAACACAUUAUGAAGGAGGAUUUAGUAGUAAGCAAAAAAUAGAGUGUUUUGCUGAAA